AUUGAACGCUGGCGGCAGGCUUAACACAUGCAAGUCGAGCGAGCGGCGGACGGGUGAGUAAUGUCUGGGAAACUGCCUGAUGGAGGGGGAUAGCUACUGGAAACGGUAGCUAAUACCGCAUAACAUCAGAUGUGCCCAGAUGGGAGUAGCUAGUAGGUGGGGUAAUGGCUCACCUAGGCGACGAUCCCUAGCUGGUCUGAGAGGAUGAACGGCCACAUGGGAACUGGGACCGGGUCCAGACUCCUACGGGAGGCAGCAGUGGGAAAUAUUGCACAAUGGGCGCAAGCCUGCUGCAGCCAUGCCGCGUGGGGGAAGAAGGCCUUCGAGUGGUAAAGCACUUUCAGCGAGGAGGCGUUACUCGCAGAAGAAGCACCGGCUAACUCCGUGCCAGCAGCCGCGGUAAUAC
rnacentral:rRNA from 1 species